rnacentral:rRNA from 1 species
GUGGGGAAUAUUGGACAAUGGGCGAAAGCCUGAUCCAGCCAUGCCGCGUGAGUGAUGAAGGCCUUAGGGUUGUAAAGCUCUUUCAGUAGGGAAGAUAAUGACGGUACCUACAGAAGAAGCCCCGGCUAACUUCGUGCCAGCAGCCGCGGUAAUACGAAGGGGGCUAGCGUUGUUCGGAUUUACUGGGCGUAAAGCGCACGUAGGCGGAUUGGUCAGUUAGGGGUGAAAUCCCAGAGCUCAACUCUGGAACUGCCCUUAAUACUGCCAAUCUAGAGUCCGGAAGAGGUGAGUGGAACUCCUAGUGUAGAGGUGGAAUUCGUAGAUAUUAGGAAGAACACCAGUGGCGAAGGCGGCUCACUGGUCCGGUACUGACGCUGAGGUGCGAAAGCGUGGGGAGCAAACAGGAUUAGAUACCCGAGUAGUCC